rnacentral:pre_miRNA from 1 species
AGUAUGAUUUCUGGGUCAUAUGAUCAGACUUUGUUUUGUAAAAAAUCACUCAACUAACUGUUUUCCAAUGUGACUUUAUCAUUUUUAAUUUCCACCAGUCAU